GCUUGCUUUUGAUCGUUAGCGGCGGACGGGUGAGUAACACGUGGGCAACCUGCCCUGUAGACGGGGAUAACACCGAGAAAUCGGUGCUAAUACCGGAUAACACUAAAUGUCGCAUGACGUUUCGUUGAAAGACGGCGCAAGCUGUCGCUACAGGAUGGGCCCGCGGCGCAUUAGCUAGUUGGUGAGGUAACGGCUCACCAAGGCGACGAUGCGUAGCCGACCUGAGAGGGUGAUCGGCCACACUGGGACUGAGACACGGCCCAGACUCCUACGGGAGGCAGCAGUAGGGAAUCUUCCGCAAUGGACGAAAGUCUGACGGAGCAACGCCGCGUGAGCGAAGAAGGCCUUCGGGUCGUAAAGCUCUGUUGUUAGGGAAGAACAAGUAACGUAGUAACUGGCGUUACUGUGACGGUACCUAACGAGAAAGCCACGGCUAACUACGUGCCAGCAGCCGCGGUAAUACGUAGGUGGCAAGCGUUGUCCGGAAUUAUUGGGCGUAAAGCGCGCGCAGGCGGUUCCUUAAGUCUGAUGUGAAAGCCCACGGCUCAACCGUGGGAGGGUCAUUGGAAACUGGGGGACUUGAGUGCAGAAAAGGAGAGCGGAAUUCCACGUGUAGCGGUGAAAUGCGUAUAGAUGUGGAGGAACACCAGUGGCGAAGGCGGCUCUCUGGUCUGUAACUGACGCUGAGGCGCGAAAGCGUGGGGAGCACACAGGAUUAUAUACCCUGGUAGUCCACGCCGUAUACGAUGAGUGCUAAGUGUUAGAGGGUAUCCACCCUUUAGUGCUGUAGCUAAACAUUAACACUCCGCCUGGGGAGUACACUCGCAAGAGUGAACUCUAAGGAAUUGUACGGGGCCCCACAAGCGGGGAGCAUGUGGUUUAUUCUAACAACGCGAAGAACUUACAGGUCUUGAAUCCCUGACACCCAGAGAUCGGCGUUCCCUUCGGGGGACAGGUGAAAGUGUUCAUGGUUUCUCACUCGGUCGGAAAUGUGGGUUACUCCACACGACGCACCUCUACUUAUUCCACGAGCAGUCGGCAUCUAGGGAU
rnacentral:rRNA from 1 species